UACGGGGGGGGCAAGCGUUGUUCGGAAUUACUGGGCGUAAAGGGCUCGUAGGCGGCCAACUAAGUCAGACGUGAAAUCCCUCGGCUUAACCGGGGAACUGCGUCUGAUACUGGAUGGCUUGAGGUUGGGAGAGGGAUGCGGAAUUCCAGGUGUAGCGGUGAAAUGCGCAGAUAUCGGGAAGAACACCCGUGGCGAAGGCGGUUCUCUGGGACGGUACUGACGCUGAGACGCGAAAGCGUGGGGAGCGAACAGG
rnacentral:rRNA from 1 species